UCUAAGUAUAACCUGCCAGACAGGGAAACUGCGUACGGCUCAUUACACCAGCCUUAAUUUACUUGACCUUGACAACCUACUUGGAUAACUGUGGUAAUUCUAGAGCUAAUACAUGCACCAAAGCUCCGAUCCUCGCGGAGAGGAGCGCAUUUGUUCGCCACAAAACCAAGCGCCCAUCUGGGCGUCCAGUGCUGAACCAGAACAACUCAGCUGAUCGCACGGUCUUGUACCGGCGACGUGUCUUUCAAGUGUCUGCCUUAUCAACUUUCGAUGGUAGUGUACCUGACUACCAUGGUUGUGACGGGUAACGGAGGAUAAGGGUUCGACUCCGGAGAAGGGGCCUGAGAAAUGGCCACUACGUCUAAGGAUGGCAGCAGGCGCGCAAAUUACCCACUCUCAACGCGAGGAGGUAGUGACGAGAAAUAACGAGACCGUUCUCAUACGAGGCCGGUUAUUGGAAUGGGUACA
rnacentral:rRNA from 1 species